rnacentral:rRNA from 1 species
AAGAGACAGCAGUCGCCGCGGUAAUACAGAGGGUGCGAGCGUUAAUCGGAUUUACUGGGCGUAAAGCGUGCGUAGGCGGCUUCUUAAGUCGGAUGUGAAAUCCCUGAGCUUAACUUAGGAAUUGCAUUCGAUACUGGGAAGCUAGAGUAUGGGAGAGGAUGGUAGAAUUCCAGGUGUAGCGGUGAAAUGCGUAGAGAUCUGGAGGAAUACCGAUGGCGAAGGCAGCCAUCUGGCCUAAUACUGACGCUGAGGUACGAAAGCAUGGGGAGCAAACAGGAUUAGAUACCCCAGUAGUCCCUGUCUCUUAUAC